rnacentral:ncRNA from 1 species
AAUCACUACUAGGGGGGCCCGAAUAUCGCGGGCUGAGAGGAAAACGUAUUUUCCGACUCUUAUGGACCUGAUCUGGUUAGUACCAGCGUAGGGAAGUAGUCGGACGACCUA